rnacentral:lncRNA from 1 species
GAGUGAGUGGAACGCAAUGGUUGGUGGUGGCGUCUCUCGCAUUUCCCACCAUUUGGGGAGGAGGCAUCGCCAUUUCUCAAACCAUAGUGCCCUCAAAUUACCGCUGUUUUGUCACCCCACCUAAGUUCCCCGGCGAAAUUCCUCUCCUUUUCGAUUGUUUCAGGCCUCCUAUAGUUGCUAAAUGUGUCUGAAAGCGAGUUCUUUCUUCUUGGGUUUCUUAUUGUUGUAACAUGGUCCCAGAAGAGUUUCAGGUUGAGUUUUCAAGUGUGCGGCAUCUCAAUCCACAGGUGAGAACUACCAAUUUGGGUAUAAAGCAGCUGGUGAUGCCUUGGAGUUAGUUAAGCUUUGUGAAGAGUACGGAAUGGAAGCUUACAUAAUAAAAUCUGUUAUGGACAAGAAUCGUUUUUCUGCAGAUAUGAAUUCUGUUACCAACUCCAUAGAGAGGGGACAGGUCUCAUCUACACGUGUUCGUAAAUAUUAAUGGCCACUGGCCAAGAACGAUUCAGUACUGCGCAGUAUAAGGUGUCUGCUCCUUGGUCUUGCUUAUUGAAUCUAGCACCAAAGGAAGGAUUAUAUGAGAAGUGUUCACUUUUCCUUGAUCAGAAAAAUGUGUUGCAGUGUAGAAUAGUUAUUGACAGCAAGUUUGUCCAUAUAGAAACAGAUUAUGGAGGUCUGAGUGACAUUUUUGGUUCUCAAAAUUUGCAGUUCUUGCAUAUUGAGUUUGGUGAUUCCUGCACUUGAUUCAGUUUAGAUAAUUAUUUCUAUUUAAAAUUUAUAGUCUA